AUGGACUUCAUUCAAGCCGAGGAACGGAUAAAAGACUCUAAAACCGUAUUUUUCCUUUGUCCCAGCACUGCUGAAAAAGCAUCGGAGGAAGGUUUUGUCACCGGCACGCCGCCUGCACAGCGCCCGCGCUGCCACAUAACGCAGCCUCGAAGAUCCGAGGCUGGUUUCCCCCCAGUCACGCUUUGCUGGGCGCCUCGCUCCGGCUGCGGGCAGGCAGCAACAGGUGCACGGUGCACGGCGCCCGCUUUGUGUACGCGGCAGCUGCGAGCGGGGCAGGGAGCGGCGCGCUCCCAGCCACAAAGCGCCCGGAGAAUAAUGCCCGGUGACGAUCAAAGCGCUCCUGAUGAGGCACAAAGCUCCAGGGAGAGAAUUCGCUCUGUGUCGCGGCCGAAAACGGCGUCGGGAGCGGGGAAGGAGCGGACGGACCGUGUGGGCAUGGCGCCGGGGCAGCCGUUCCUGCAGGAGAUAUUUCUAAACAUCAUGUUGAAUGCACCCCCGUGUAACUCCAGAUCCAAGUUUAUGCUGAUGUAACUCCUCUAACAAAAGGAUGAACUUUAGUGAUGAUGGUCAGUGAAGUUGUCUUUAAACAGCUCUUUGUUCUACUGUACGGGCAUAUGAUGGGGAAAAAAAAGAAAGCUACAUUUCACUGGUAAGUAGAACUUCAUAGACCUUAGACAUCUUGUAAAUGCUUUAAAAUAUUGGUACGUAGCAUAUUUCUGUGUAAAAUAAAUCAGAUGCUCUUUUCCA
rnacentral:lncRNA from 1 species